UACGUAGGGUGCGAGCGUUAAUCGGAAUUACUGGGCGUAAAGCGUGCGCAGGCGGUUUGUUAAGUUCGUUGUGAAAGCCCCGGGCUCAACCUGGGAAUGGUAAUGGAAACUGGCGGGCUGGAGUGCGGCAGAGGGGGGUGGAAUUCCGCGUGUAGCAGUGAAAUGCGUAGAGAUGCGGAGGAACACCGGUGGCGAAGGCAGCCCCCUGGGCCGACACUGACGCUCAGGCACGAAAGCGUGGGGAGCAAACAGG
rnacentral:rRNA from 1 species